UUCUAGCAUUGAUUUUAUACCUGAUAUUACUGAUUUUCUAACCAGAGAAUUCCCUUUAGUAUUUUUUGUACUUUUGAUUUGGUUUUUGCACAUUCUGUAAGCUUCUGUUUAUCUGGAAAUGUCUUAAUUUCGCCUUCAUAUUUGAGAGACAGUUUUGCUGGAUAUAUGAUUCUUGGCUGGCAGUUUUUCUCCCUCAAUGCUUUAUAUAUAUGUCAUCCCAUCGCCUUCUUGCCUGCAUGGUUUCUGCCAAGCAGUCUGAACUUAUUGAUUCUCCUUUGUAGGUAGCUUUUCACUUAUCCCUGGCCUCUCUUAAAAUUUUCUGUUUAUCUUUGAUUUUAGCAACUUUGAUCAUAGUAUGUCUUGGUGACUUUCUUUUGGGAUCUGCCUCGUAUGAGGUUCGAUGAGCAUCUUGGAUAGAUAUCCUUUCAUCUUUCACAAUGCCAGGGAAGUUUUCUUCCAACACGUUGUCAAGAAUUCUCUCUGUAUUUUCUGUUUUCCCUCCCUGUUCUGGUAUUGCAAUCACUUGCCAAGUUACUCUUUUUUGUAGAGUCCCACAUGAUACUCAGCAUUUCUUCAUUUUUUAAAAUUCUUUUAUCUGACUUUUCUUCAAAUAUAUUGUUGCCAAGUGUUUUAUCUUCAGUCUUACUAAUUCUGCCUUCCACUUCCUCAGUUCUGCUUCUCUGACUUUCUGUUGAGUUGUCUAAUUCUGUAAUUUUGUUGUUAAUCUUCUGAAUUUCUGAUUCCUGUCUCUCUGUGGAUUCUUGCGGCUUAUUAAAUUUUUCAUUAGUUCUUGAAUAAUCUUUUUAAUUUCCUCAGCUGCUUUAUCUCUGUGUUCCUUGGCUUGUUCUGUAUUUUCCUGAUCUCUUUCCUGCUCUUGUUCCUGAUGUCUUAAAGAGUCCUGUAUAUUAAUCUUUUGUAUUCCUUAUCUUGUAAUUCCAGGAAGGCACCUUCAUCCAGAAGAUCCCUUGAAUCUUUGUUUUGAGAGCUUGUUGAAGUGAUCAUGGCUGCUAGAUUGAGCUGACUUGAUUAUUGGAGCCUUUGAAGCAGUAAUGUCCUAUUACCAGAUGGCUAGAGCUGUUACCAGAGGCAUGUGUAGCCUGUUUGCGCUGGCUGGAUCCCCACUGCAAUUGCCCCAGGGGGUCAGGGCUGCGUCCCAUACUUGCCUUCUUUCACUGAAGCUGCUGCGUCCUAAAUGCCACGGCCUGCCCCAGUACAGACAUGCUACAGGGUCAAGGGCCCUCAACUUUGCUUGCCUUCUUUCGCUGAAGCGACUGUGUCCCCAAAAACUACUAUCAGCCCUGCCACAGGUGCGCCAAGGAAUCGGGUGAGGUGCUGCCACGGGCUUAGCAACUCCUUGCUGC